rnacentral:rRNA from 1 species
UACAGAGGGUGCGAACGUUGCUCGGAAUUAUUGGGCGUAAAGCGCGUGUAGGCGGCUUGUUAAGUUGGUCGUGAAAUCCCAUGGCUCAACCAUGGAAGUGCAACCAAAACUGGCAAGCUUGAGUCCUGAAGAGAAUGGCGGAAUUCCCAGUGUAGAGGUGAAAUUCGUAGAUAUUGGGAGGAACAUCGGUGGCGAAGGCGGCCAUUUGGGAAGGUACUGACGCUGAGACGCGAAAGCGUGGGGAUCAAACAGG